AAAAUUUACAAAAGCAGUCUACAAACUUGUAGCAAACCUUUACAAACCUUCUUUAAUUGCAGGCUGAGCUGGAUACUGAACAAAAGAGUGAGCCUCGACAGUUACAAGGUUUGCGCUGAGUUUCACCAUAUCAGAGAAAGUAGCAAACACCAGCAAGAUUUCACAGAUGUUGCAUGACCUUCUAAAUGUUGGAUCUUCAGGAGCCAUGCUCUCCUAGUGUAUGUGUGAGGAGAACUGUUCUUCAGGACAUGAAAUGAGGAACUGGGCAAGCCAGACAUCACUGACAAACACCUCUCCUGUUGAUUUUGUUAUCAUGGACAACGAAACCACUACAAGUCCAGCAAGCUCUGCAGUUGUGAUGAGAUGAUCUUCCAGUGUUUGACAUUCAAAA